UCAGCUCUAGGUUUCCCAGCCCUUCCUUAUGCUAACUGCCUCAGGAAUUUUCCCAAGCACACAGCCGGCUCCUGUUAUUUAUUGGUACAGGGACUUCAGUGAACUAAACCCUGCCCUCUCUGCCGGGAGCAAUGCCUGCAAGUUGGCAUUCACAGGUUGCAUCUGGCCCACAGAUGGUUUUUGGUUUGGCCUGCGGAGUUUAAAGGAUUAGCCAAUCUCCAGCGGUUAAAAUUGGAAUUGUGUAUAUAAUUUAGGAAGCGUAGCAUCUCAUAAAAUCAUCAGUGAACCAGCCUUACCAGAAAUGUGGAAUCAAUAAAUAAGGGCUGCAUAGGAAAGUCCUCCACUCAGCCAUGUGGACUUGAGUUGACUAGAGUCUGUCACUCCCUAGGUACUCCUGGUUUUCAGGCUAAGCGGUUAGCUGUCAUCUACCAACACAGGAGCAGUGAUUUACCUCACGGUGCCGUUUCUCCGUGCUAGUUUCCUGCUUCAUGAGGGCCCCCGCCUUGCUGUCUAUAUUUGGCUUAUACGAUUUUCAACUUCAGGCAGAGGAUGUGGCUCAGUGGUUAAGAACACUCGCUGUGCAAACAUGAGGACUGGGAUUCGAAUCUCCAACAGCCCUAUACAACGCACUGGUGUAGCUGUCUUCGUUUAUAGCUCCAGGGUUGUCUGAAGGUGGAAAUGGGUGAAUCGCCAGGGCUGGCUGACUGCUGGCUCGUUCCACAACAUGAACCAGCUAACUGGAGGAGGUGUCUACUGUGAUGUUCUGAGAAAGAUGAGCAGCAUUUGGGCUCAGGAGAAGAAGAUCCUCUGGGAAUGGAAAGGGCAGAUGAGAUUCCUGCAAAGAGGCAUAGCUCGGAUUAUCUGGAAAAGCAGACUCCAGGUUGGAGGUUUGCUUAGAACACCCUUACAGAGGACAGCUCUCUGAGAAGGAAUCAGGCAAGAGUGGAAAAAAGAUGAUGGACUGCACUGGUCUCACAAUGGCCUUAGCCCAUUCCCUGAAGCACAAUUAUGAAGCAGUGGCCACCCCCAGUUAGUCCACUUUAUCUGUCCCAAGAAUGAGGAGGCUUCUUGAUUCUGGUUGACACGAGAAAGCAUAACAAGAGUUAGGUCGACUCUGUGGUCAAGAUCAUUGUCCUUUUAUAAUUCUUACACCUCUAUGGAGACAACGCUCCUGCAAUUGGAAGCAUCCCAGCCAAGGUCAGAUGUCACCUGCUUUCUAGUCCUCUCUGGAGAGGUUUCCAUUUUUGGAUUUCAUCAGAAUUGCAGUGUGUGUGGGUGUGGGGUGGUGGUGGUGAUGGGUGUUCAAUUGAUGCUAAUUGUCAGACACUGAUUUGGUAGGUAGGUCAGACUGGGGCCUCAGACUCUGUUAUUAAGGUCCUUCAUCUGACUUCCCUAUGCUGCCGUGCUUGGGCACAUCAGUAUUGAAGCAGAUAUUUCAGCCGUGUUACUCCAAUUGAAUUAUUUCUGUGUUUGGCAUUCCAGGACAGAGUGUGGGAGGAGAGACAAAGGAACUGCACCAGCAUGUCACCUCAUUAUCUGAGAAGGGGAGUCCUGAGCCACCCAGUGGAACAGAAUUAAAACCCACCAGACUUGACUUCUAUAUGCUCUUCCAAUUACAAAGACUCAUUAAUAACAGGGAUUUUCCAGGGGGAAAUGAAGCAUCACUGUUCGCUGUUGUUGUCAUUUGAUGAAAAGACAUUUAUUGAGCAUGCCUUAUGUUUUCCUUCAGAGUUUAAUUGUCCGAGAAUUUCACACAUACAUGUAGUAUAUUUUGAUCAAUGCCACCCCCAUUCUCUCCUGACCAUUUCCUCCCCAACCUAACCCAAUAAUAUUUUGCCUCCCAACUUUGUGUGUUCUUUUCAAAAAGUCCACUGUGUUCGCUUAGUGCUGUCUAUAUGUCUGAGUUUGUCUUUUAUUUUUAAAUAUUUCCUGGGUCCAGCAUAAAGGGACAUCUGUGGGCUCAAGGAUAAGAACAAAACCACAUGUGAGUUCCUUUGGAAAUUUUUGCAGUCAGGACAUGUCUCCUAUGAUUCAGCAGAAGUGAUUAUUUUGGGAGCAACAAAAGAUAUUCCUUUUUUAAAAGUACAAACUUAUGUAACACUGCCAAAAAAAACUAAAAUAGAUUUUAAAGCUAUUGACUUUUGUUCAUAAUUUCUGGCUGCUGUUCUCAAUGUGAAGACAUUUGAUUUACUUAUAGUGUCGCAUUUAUUUUUCCUGACAAGUAUUUUAUAUUCAUAUCUUUAUGUAUCUCUUGGGCCUUUGUGGUUCUGUCAUUUGAGGCUAUCUAUUGCAUAGUUUUGAUGUCUAUGACUGACUUUAUUUCUCUGAUUUGGGGGAUUUCCUUCCAACUUGCCACCAUUACAGAUGAUUUUGUCCUUAUCAUUUGGUGUCUGUCCUCACAGGUGCCUUUCCCAACCCGAAAAUCUUAGCUCCUAAAGUAGUUCCUUUCCCUUCCCAUCCCCUAGAAUGUGAUCCAGUAGCUUCCUCAUCUGGCUGGAUCUACUCUCCAUCUUCACUAGGGCUGAGGAACUUCUGUUCACAAUUACUAAGUGAGGGUUCUAGCCUUAUCACGUAGAUUGUUCCAGCGAAAUGUAAUGCAUUGUUGUAGUGCCCGUGAUCAUGGCCUUAAGUAUUCUUGAAUUCACAGGCUUCAUCUUAUCCAUGCUGAUCCAAUAGGCAAUGUAAGAGUGUCUCUGAUUGCAAACAUUCCAAAGUCAUUUGCACAAUGACUGAGUGACUUCAACAAGUCAUUUUUUUUAAGGGUGGCCAUCAAAUCAUUUAACAUCCAAAUCUUUUGAGGGUCAAAGAGGAAUUUCUUCUAGCUUUUCAGAAAUUGAAAUAUAACAAUUGAAUACAUUUCUGGAAGACAGAUAAGUCUCACUUUCCCUUCUAUUCCCAAUGCAGUCAUCGUUUCUGUCAAAGAUUGAUAGAGAAUUACAUUAAAAGUCUUUUUCAAGGUUCCUAUUUUUGGGUAUUGUUGGUGACUUUCCAGUUUUGAAACAUUAGGAGCAAACUCCUUGUCAGAAAAUAACUCUCUUACCAUAUGAAUGAAUUUAAUUUCUUAGAUUCCAAUUAGACCAAUCCAUAAUCAAAUUAAUCACAGCAUUUAAUAAUUUUAAAUUACUGACACAUGCCAGUUCACAUGACUAGAAUUUACUUUUCUCAUACUCAUUGCCCCUGAGAAUUUUCUCGUUUGAAAGCAACAUUUAAUGAAAAUUUGAAAAAAUACUAGUUGCAAUAAUAAUAAGGAGAAUGAUUACUUUAACUUUCUCCAGUUUCACCCUUGGUCCAUCAGUCAGUUUACACCUAACUGUUGGUUUCUGGGUCAAUUUUGGUCACUUAAUGUUUUGUAAAGUUCAUUCACAGCACUGAACAUUCAAACAUUACAUUUUGAGCAAUAAAAGGUAUUUUUUGAAGCAAUAAAGCUUAUGUUGUCAUGAUGAAUUUCAGCACACAAUAAAAAGGCUGCUACCCGACUUCUGCAUUAGCUUCAAUUCCCCAGAGGGAAGCAGUUCCAAUUCAUCCAUUGUGUCCUUUCCCAUAGACUGUGCAAUUUGUAAUAGACUGAUUAAUUUGUAAUCUCCCUAUAUUUUUGUUCUCUCAGAUCCUCUAUCUCAGAAAUCUCCAAUUCUAGGAUCAAGAGUUUUAUCUUUUCUCCUUCUUUACAAGAUGUUGGAACCACGAAUCCAAGUUUGCCUUCUUUCUUCUCUGCGUCCUUGUUGACUUAUAACUAGAAAAGUUGUUUUCUGUCUAGAGAGUGAGUUCCAGGAAGGAAAAGAGAUAAAUCAUAUUCACAACUGCUCAUGAAUAACUGAUAAUUUCAAAUAACUUAAAAACUUUUGAGUGACUAUGAAAUCGGUGAAAUAUAUCAACGACAAGUGACAGACAAAAUAUUCUCAGUGUCCAACACUCAAGAGGUACAAAAUGUUUUGGAGCAAAGCAUUCCCUGUUAGUGUGGUCUCUGGCCAACUAGUUCUCUGCAACCAGUGUCAACACUUUCUUGGCAGUUUCCUCUCAUAUAUUAUGCAAAUUCUAGUUCUUCACUUUACGUACAGGGCUCUACACUGCUUUUUUGCCUUAUACUUAAUAGUUUAUCUUAUAAAUCUCUU
rnacentral:sRNA from 1 species